rnacentral:rRNA from 1 species
GCUUAGCUGUAAACACUGAUAGAAAAACACUUAACCUAUCCGCCCGGGUACUACGAGCUUCAGCUUGAAACCCAAAGGACUUGGCGGUACUUUAGACCCACCUAGAGGAGCCUGUUCUAUAAUUGAUAAUCCCCGUUCAACCUCACCCUCCCUUGCUAAACCCGUCUAUAUACCGCCGUCGUAAGCUUACCCUCUGAGGGACUUAUAGUAAGCAGAAUUGGUACAACCCAGAACGUCAGGUCAAGGUGUAGCGCAUGGGAGGGGAAGAGAUGGGCUACAUUCACUAAGUUCUAGUGAAUCACGGAAGGUGUCAUGAAAACCACACUCUCAAAGGAGGAUUUAGUAGUAAGCAGGAAAUAGAGUGUCCUGCUGAAGCUGGCUCUAAAGUGCGC